rnacentral:rRNA from 1 species
GACGAACGCUGGCGGCGUGCUUAACACAUGCAAGUCGAACGAAGAGCGACGGAAGCUUGCUUCUAUCAAUCUUAGUGGCGAACGGGUGAGUAACGCGUAAUCAACCUGCCCUUCAGAGGGGGACAACAGUUGGAAACGACUGCUAAUACCGCAUACGAUCUAACCUCGGCAUCGAGGAUAGAUGAAAGGUGGCCUCUACAUGUAAGCUAUCACUGAAGGAGGGGAUUGCGUCUGAUUAGCUAGUUGGAGGGGUAACGGCCCACCAAGGCGAAGAUCAGUAGCCGGUCUGAGAGGAUGGACGGCCACAUUGGGACUGAGACACGGCCCAGACUCCUAAGGGAGGCAGCAGUGGGGAAUCUUCCGCAAUGGACGAAAGUCUGACGGAGCAACGCCGCGUGAGGGAUGACGGCCUUCGGGUUGUAAAGCUCUGUUAAUCGGGACGAAAGGCCUUCUUGCGAAUAGUGAGAAGGAUUGACGGUACCGGAAUAGAAAGCCACGGCUAACUACGUG